rnacentral:rRNA from 1 species
GUCGAGAAUCUUUCACAAUGGGGGCAACCCUGAUGGAGCGACGCCGCGUGGAGGAUAAGGUCUUCGGAUUGUAAACUCCUGUCAUGCGUGAACAAGGUUGCUUGGUUAAUACCUGGGCAAAUUGAUGGUAACGCAAGAGGAAGAGACGGCUAACUCUGUGCCAGCAGCCGCGGUAAUACAGAGGUCUCAAGCGUUGUUCGGAAUCACUGGGCGUAAAGGGUGCGUAGGUGGCGUGGUAAGUCAGAUGUGAAAGCCCGGGGCUCAACCUCGGAACUGCAUCCGAUACUGCCAGGCUAGAGUACUGGAGAGGUGACUAGAAUUCUCGGUGUAGCAGUGAAAUGCGUAGAUAUCGAGAGGAAUACCAAAGGCGUAGGCAGGUCACUGGACAGUUACUGACACUGAGGCACGAAGGCCAGGGGAGCGAACGGGAUUAGAUACCCGUGUAGUCC